GACGAACGCUGGCGGCGUGCUUAACACAUGCAAGUCGAACGAAGAGCGAUGGGAGCUUGCUUCUAUCAAUCUUAGUGGCGAACGGGUGAGUAACGCGUAAUCAACCUGCCCUUCAGAGGGGGACAACAGUUGGAAACGACUGCUAAUACCGCAUACGAUCUAAUCUCGGCAUCGAGGAUAGAUGAAAGGUGGCCUCUACAUGUAAGCUAUCACUGAAGGAGGGGAUUGCGUCUGAUUAGCUAGUUGGAGGGGUAACGGCCCACCAAGGCGAUGAUCAGUAGCCGGGCGGGGAGGAGGGACGGCACAAUGGGGAAGGAGAAGCGGCACAGACUCGUAGGGGGGGAAGCAGUGGGGAAUCUUCCGCAAUGGAGAAGAGUCUGACGGGGAAACGCGGGGGGGGUGAGGACGCCCUUGGGGUUUAAAAGCUCUUUUCAUCGGGACGAAAGCUCUUCUGGCGAAAAGUUGGAAGGUUGGACGGAACGGAAAAAGAAGGCCAGGGCAAACUAGGGG
rnacentral:rRNA from 1 species